GACGAACGCUGGCGGCGUGCUUAACACAUGCAAGUCGAGCGAUGAAACACCUUCGGGUGCGGAUUAGCGGCGAACGGGUGAGGAACACGUGAGGAAUCUGCCUUCCACUCUGGGAUAACUCCGGGAAACCGGGGCUAAUACCGGAUACUUUCAACUGGCGGCAUCGCCGGUUGAAGAAAGUUUUUCGGUGGAAGAUGACCUCGCGGCCUAUCAGCUUGUUGGUGAGGUAAAGGCUCACCAAGGCGACGACGGGUAGCCGGCCUGAGCGGGCGACCGGCCGCACAGGGACUGAGACGCGGCCCAGACUCCUACGGGAGGCAGCAGUGGGGAAUAUUGGGCAAUGGAGGAAACUCUGACCCAGCGACGCCGCGUGAGGGAUGAAGGCCUUCGGGUUGUAAACCUCUUUCAGCAGGGAAUAAGCGAAAGUGAAGGUACCUGCAGAAGAAGCACCGGCUAACUAUGUGCCAGCCGCCGCAGUAA
rnacentral:rRNA from 1 species